rnacentral:rRNA from 1 species
AUUGAACGCUGGCGGCAGGCCUAACACAUGCAAGUCGAACGAGUGGCGGACGGGUGAGUAAUGUCUGGGAAACUGCCUGAUGGAGGGGGAUAACUACUGGAAACGGUAGCUAAUACCGCAUACCAUCGGAUGUGCCCAGAUGUGAUUAGCUCGUAGGUGGGGUAAAGGCUCACCUAGGCGACGAUCCCUAGCUGGUCUGAGAGGAUGACCUGCCACACUGGAACGGAGACACGGCCCAGAAUCCUACGGGAGGCAGCAGUGGUGAAGAUUGCACAAUGGGCGCAAGCCUGAUGCAGACAUGCCGCGUGUAUGGAGAAGGCCUGCGGGUUGUAAAGUACUUUCAGCGGGGAGGCGUUACCCGCAGAAGAAGCACCGGCUAACUCCGUGCCAGCAGCCGCGGUAAUUC